rnacentral:lncRNA from 1 species
AAGAAUGCCACUUGACUUUUUUUCCUUUCUUUCUCUACCAACAUUAAGCCUAAGUGGGUAUCCACCUUUCUCUGAGCAUAAGACCCAAGUGUCACUGAAGGAUCAGAUCACCAGUGGAAAGUACAACCUUAUUCCGGAAGUCUGGACAGAUGUCUCAGAGAAGGGUAUGGAUACGAAAGGGUUACAGGCGUCUGGUUUAACUGACGUGUGGGUGUCCUGUUGGUGGGAGCGUCUCCUCAGACUGCUGGUUUUCUCCCAUCUGGUCAUUCUGUUGCUUUGCACCACUUGACAGGAAGAGGACA